UACGGGGGGGGGUAAGCGUUGUUCGGAAUUACUGGGCGUAAAGGGCUCGUAGGCGGCCAACUAAGUCAUACGUGAAAUCCCUCAGCUUAACUGGGGAACUGCGUGUGAUACUGGAUGGCUUGGAUUUGGGAGAGGGAUGCGGAAUUCCAGGUGUAGCGGUGAAAUGCGUAGAUAUCUGGAGGAAUACCGGUGGCGAAGGCGGCAUCCUGGACCGACAUUGACGCUGAACGGCGAAAGCUAGGGGAGCAAACGGGG
rnacentral:rRNA from 1 species